GACAGAGCAAGACCCUGUCUUAAAAAAAAAAAAAAAGUUGUCUUUAUUGAUCUAAGACCUAUAAUUUCAAGACAUAUGCUUAUUAUGAAAAUGCAGCUUCAAGACAAGACUUAAUCUCUUCUGCCCAUCAUAUUUUAAAGCUGCCACAAAAGAAGUUUAUGGUCUGUUGGAGUAAGAGACUGACGUGUGCACAAAUAAUUUACAAGACAGUAAAUGCUAUAAUAGGGCAAUGUAUUUUCCUAAUGAACCCUUUGUGGAAUGGAUCAAGAGUAUUCAUUUUCUUCUGGUAAACAGCAAUCUGAACCCAAGAGAUAAUCCUUUCUCAAACACCCAAUCAGCAAUCAGCCAGCACCAGUGUCUUGAUAUUUCUAAAGAGUAUACUCCGGUGGUUUGGCCUCCUGGAGGACGCUGUGAGGAAGACUGUGCUUGCGUCCCUGAGCCUGUUGCCACUCCUUACUAAGGGCCUUACUAAGGGCAUGCCCAGAGCCAUCCCAGUCUGCUAUGUUUGGAAAGGGUUCUGGGCAUCAAGACUUAUCACUCAGAAUACUGUGGGAUUUUCUUCUACCUAAGACAAAAGAAAGAAGCAAUUCCAUUAAUGUACGCUUUUCAGGAUCUGUUGGGUUUUUCAUCUGUUACUGCUUUGGGAACUUUUUCUGUGUGCCAGCACAGCGCUAUGCACUGGACAUUCCAUGAUGAGCAAGACGGAUGUCCGUGCCCUCAUGGACCUUAGAGAACCUAAAAGAUUCUCAUUUCUCUCUGAAUUCUUCACAGGAUAAACUGCCCUGGCAUUUUCAGUUUUCUUUUUCCUCCUUCACCGGGAAGACUGACCCAAGCUUUCUCCUUCUGGGGCUGCCCCCAAAAGACUAGCUCAGUGUUAUUCACACACCUGCAGAUAGUUGUCCAGGGGUUUGUUUUCUCACACACCAAGAAGUCCAGAAGCAGACAGCCCAGGACUCUUACAGCUGCUCAGGGAAAUCACCAAGGACCAGGCUGCUUCUAACAUCCUUAUCUGACAACCCCAGCGACUGGCUUCAGUCCUCAUGGUGGACAGAGUCGGACGAUGUGAAAUUUCUUCAUGCUGCUCAAAAUGG
rnacentral:lncRNA from 1 species